rnacentral:rRNA from 1 species
CCUACGGGAGACAGCAGUGAGGAAUAUUGGUCAAUGGGCUUACGCCUGAACCAGCCAAGUCGCGUGAGGGAAGACUGCCCUAUGGGUUGUAAACCUCUUUUGUCAGGGAGCAACGCCGGCUACGUGUAGCCGGACUGAGAGUACCUGAAGAAAAAGCAUCGGCUAACUCCGUGCCAGCAGCCGCGGUAAUACGGAGGAUGCGAGCGUUAUCCGGAUUUAUUGGGUUUAAAGGGUGCGUAGGCGGAAUGCCAAGUCAGCGGUAAAAUCGCGGGGCUCAACCUCGCUCCGCCGUUGAAACUGGGGUUCUUGAGUGGGCGAGAAGUAUGCGGAAUGCGUGGUGUAGCGGUGAAAUGCAUAGAUAUCACGCAGAACUCCGAUUGCGAAGGCAGCAUACCGGCGCCCAACUGACGCUGAAGCACGAAAGCGUGGGUAUCGAACAGGAUUAGAUACCCUAGUAGUC